rfam:Oryzias latipes DNA, scaffold2692, strain: Hd-rR.
ACAACGGCUCUUUUGAGAGCCACCCACAAAACCUUUAAGAGCUUG